AUAUUGUCAUAAGUAGGAGAGCAAUAAAGAAGAAUAGUGAUAUACAGGAAGAUGAUUUUGGGAAUGACAUUACAAAGGCCUUGCAAUUUGAUUUUGGGGCAAUUAAAGUAGCCACAAACAAUUUCUCAACUGAUAAUAAGUUGGGCGAAGGUGGAUUUGGUGAGGUUUAUAAGGGCAUACUUCCUAAUGGACAAGCAAUAGCUGUAAAGAGGCUUUCGAGAAGAUCCUGCCAGGGUUCUGCAGAAUUCAAGAAUGAAAUCGUAUUGGUAGCCAAGCUCCAACACAGAAAUUUGGUUAGGCUGUUGGGAUUUUGCUUGGAGGGAGAAGAAAAGAUUCUUAUAUAUGAAUUUGUUGCCAACAAAAGUCUUGACUAUUUUUUAUAUGGUCUGAACUGUCUCUAUGAAUCCAAUGACUCUUGAGUUCAAU